GCGAUAGGUCAUCGCUUCUGGAAUGGGCAGUGGCUCAACCUACAUGGCCCCAGGAUGGGACUGCGACCGAUCAGGUUGUUGGUGAGGUAAUGGCCCACCAAACCUAUAACCGGUACGGGCUCUGAGAGGAGGAGCCCGGAGAUGGACACUGAGACAAGGGUCCAGGUCCUAUGGGACGCAGCAGGCGCGAAACCUUCGCAAUAGGCGAAAGCCUGACGAGGUUAAUCCGAGUGUUUCCUGCUAAAGGAAUCUUUUGUCAGCUCUAAAAAUGCUGGCGAAUAAGGGGUGGGCAAGCCUGGUGUCAGCCGCCGCGGUAAUACCAGCACCCCGAGUGGUCGGGAUGAUUAUUUGGCCUAAAGCAUCCGUAGCCGGCCCCGUAAGUCUUCCGUUAAAUCCACCUGCUCAACAGUUGGGCUGCGGGAGAUACUGUGAGGCUAGGAGGCGGGAGAGGCGAGGGGUAUUCCUUGGGUAGGGGUAAAAUCCUCUGAUCCAUGGAGGACCACCAGUGGCGAAGGCGUCUCGCCAGAACGCGCUCGACGGUGAGGGAUGAAAGCUGGGGGAGCAAACCGGAUUAGAUACCCGGGUAGUCCCAGCUGUAAACGAUGUAGGCUCGGUGAUGGGUUGGGUUCGACCCAACCCAGUGCCGCAGGGAAGCCGUUAAGCCUACCGCCUGGGGAGUACGGUCGCAAGACUGAAACUUAAAGGAACUGGCGGGGGAGCACCACAAGGGGUGAAGCCUGCGGUUCAAUUGGAGUCAACGCCGGAAAUCCCGCGGCCAUGGCGGCCGGGAGCAUGCGACGUCGGGCCCAAUUCGCCCUAUAGUGAGUCGUAUUACAAUUCACUGGCCGUCGUUUUACA
rnacentral:rRNA from 1 species